UACAUACAUACAUACAUACAUACAUACAUACAUACAUACACAUAUGUAUUGUUUUGUUUGUUUGUUGUUGGUAUAAGAGAUGACGUUGUUGUUUAUUUACAGUGCACAGAGACUUCGUUCUUCUUCAAGGCACCCAAUAAGACAGCAUGUAAACAUCUGUGGAAGUGCUGCAUAGAACACCACACUUUCUUCAGAAUGCCAGAAAAUGAUGGCAACACACUGACAAGAAAACUAUCCAAAUUGGGUUCUCUGGGAUCUAAGCAUCGAUACAGUGGAAAGACUGCUAUGCAGAUGGGCAGGGG